rnacentral:rRNA from 1 species
UAGCGUUGUUCGGAAUUACUGGGCGUAAAGCGCACGUAGGCGGCUUUGUAAGUUAGAGGUGAAAGCCCAGGGCUUAACCCUGGAAUUGCCUUUAAGACUGCAUCGCUAGAAUCGUGGAGAGGUGAGUGGAAUUCCGAGUGUAGAGGUGAAAUUCGUAGAUAUUCGGAAGAACACCAGUGGCGAAGGCGACUCACUGGACACGUAUUGACGCUGAGGUGCGAAAGCGUGGGGAGCAAACAGG